rnacentral:rRNA from 1 species
UACGUAGGGUGCAAGCGUUGUCCGGAUUUACUGGGCGUAAAGAGCGCGCAGGCGGUCGUUCAAGUCGCGUGUGAAAGCCCCCGGCUCAACUGGGGAGGGUCACGCGAUACUGAUCGACUCGAAGGCAGGAGAGGGUAGUGGAAUUCCCGGUGUAGUGGUGAAAUGCGUAGAUAAUCGGGAGGAACACCAGUGGCGAAGGCGACUACCUGGCCUGUUCUUGACGCUGAGGCGCGAAAAGCUAGGGGAGCAAACGGGG